rnacentral:rRNA from 1 species
GACGAACGCUGGCGGCGUGCUUAACACAUGCAAGUCGAACGGAAAGGCCUGCUUUCCCUUGUGGAUUGCGGGUACUCGAGUGGCGAACGGGUGAGUAACACGUGAGUGAUCUGCCCCCAACUUGGGUAUAAGCCUGGGAAACUGGGUCUAAUUCCCGAUAGGACUGCAGGGUGGUGCCUGUGGUGGAAAACGAUUUUCUAGUGGUUGGGGAUGAGCUCGCGGCCUAUCAGCUUGUUGGUGGGGUAAUGGCCUACCAAGGCGGCGACGGGUAGCCGGCCUGGGAGGGUGGACGGCCACAUUGGGACUGGGAUACGGCCCAGACUCCUACGGGAGGCAGCAGUGGUGAAUAUUGCACAAUGGGCGGAAGCCUGAUGCAGCGACGCCGCGUGGGGGAUGACGGCCUUCGGGUUGUAAACUCCUUUCGACCGCGAGGAAGCCACCUGGUUGGAAGGGUGGUGACGGUAGUGGUAGAAGAAGCACCGGCUAACUACGUG